UCAUCCUUUUGUUUGGGGAAUUCAGUUACAAGUGACAACACUGUUGGAGGAGGGUCUAAACAUCUCUAGGUUGUGCGUCAGCAACACAGUAUUUGGAGAAGAGAAAAGGCUGAUUUAAAACUGCAGGAACCAAUACAGGCGAUCCCGCCCUCUCCUUUCAACGAGAAUCACCAUGAAAGCUUCUGCCCACUCUGACUCUGGUUCCUGUCUCCAGUCCCAUGUCUCCUCAUCCUGCUACUCUGCCCUGGAUUUCCCACUCUACUUCUCCCUUGGAUACCCCUUCGGACCUGCCUACCCUGUCCCAACCCCUCUCGCUCCAGCCUCAGCCUCCGCACCUGGUUUUCUGCAACUCGCCCGAGCUUCCCCCGGCCUGCACUCCAUCUUCCCCCUGUGUUUCAAUAAAUACCUUGGUUACUUCAUCCCAGUCUCCUCGUCUGAAUCUGCUCUUGGGUUUCCCUGUUCCACUCCGCGUAACACACGCUAGGU
ensembl:lncRNA